rnacentral:ncRNA from 1 species
UCUGAAUUGCAGCUUGUGGGAACUUCCAUCUUCAUUGUGCCAUGCGGGAUCCUUAGUUGCAGGAUAUUUUCUUUAAAAAAGGGUCUUUUUUUAAAAAAAAAAAAGAAAGAAAGAAAGAAAGAUCCUUGUACCACCUGGGCGCAACUCACUCUGGGGACAGUGCCGCGUGGGGAGUCUGACUGGGACAGUACACCUGUCAAAGGUAACGCAGGUAUUCUAAGGCGAGCUCGGGGGAGACAGAAACCUCCCGUGGAGCAGAAGGGCAAGAGCUCGCUUGAUCUUGAUUUUCAGUACGAAUACAGACCUUGAAAGCGGACCCUUUUUUAAAUAAAUAAAGAGCUG